rnacentral:rRNA from 1 species
GACGAACGCUGGCGGCGUGCUUAACACAUGCAAGUCGAACGGAAAGGCCCUGCUUUUGUGGGGUGCUCGAGUGGCGAACGGGUGAGUAACACGUGAGUAACCUGCCCUUGACUUUGGGAUAACUUCAGGAAACUGGGGCUACUACCGGAUAGGAGCUCCUGCUGCAUGGUGGGGGUUGGACAGUUUCGGCGGUUGGGGAUGGACUCGCGGCUUAUCAGCUUGUUGGUGGGGUAGUGGCUUACCAAGGCUUUGACGGGUAGCCGGCCUGAGAGGGUGACCGGCCACAUUGGGCCUGAGAUACGGCCCAGACUCCUACGGGGGGCAGCAGUGGGGAAUAUUGCACAAUGGGCGGAAGCCUGAUGCAGCAACGCCGCGUGCGGGAUGACGGCCUUCGGGUUGUAAACCGCUUUCGCCUGUGACGAAGCGUGAGUGACGGUAAUGGGUAAAGAAGCACCGGCUAACUACGUG